AUGUGUAGGUUUCUAAAGGAAGCAGGAGCUGCACUAGCCGCGGGGCAGGAAAGGCGGAGUCAGCAGCACCCCCGGGAAGCCGGCGCGCCAGGGUUUGCUAGAAGCUGGCCUGGAACCUGGCCUCCUGCCCGCCGGGCCCAGACAGGUGAACAGAAGCUCUUGGGGACCGAGCCCGGGCCUGCGGGCACGAGUGGUUAUAAAAGUGUGUAUAGCAAGCCUUCUGAAGAUUCAACCACUUGUGGAUCAGAUAUAUUUGGAGAAAGAUUGUGUCUUCGCUGAACAUGUAAGACUUUUUCAGUGUCAAUAUUCACCGAACAAUACUGUAUGACAACCAUUUUCACAGAAUUUAUUUUGUAUUUAAUAUUACAAGUUACUUAGAGAUGUUUUAAAGUACAGUAAGACCUUGUUUCUCAAGCAUAGUUCUUUCUGGAAACAUACUUGUAAUCCAAAGCAGAAUUCAGAUGAUUUGUUUCACAACUCCAAAAUAUUCAUUUCAAAUGAUUAUAAUAUUGUAAUACAAAAUGUAAAGAAAAACAAGUAAACGUGUUUACUUUUGAAAACCUUCAUGGUUAGUGUGUGGGCAAUAAGAGGAAGGUUAUUGUGUAGGAUGAUUUUCACCAUCAUGAAUGGGAUCUCUGGCUCAACAAGAUCUUUCCCUUUUCCUGCAACUUUAAUAAGGAACCUGAUGACUCUGGCUUUUGCAUCGUUUCAAGGCUUUUGUAGUUGAGUGGAUUCGUCAUUGUCACUGCUUCAGCCUUAUUCAGGGGGUGCUUUUCGACAAAAUGUUGCACAGUUUCCCACAUUUUACGCCUCUCCCUGAUCUCAUUUGUAGUGAGUGGUUCCUCUGUCUUUUUCUCCUCCUCAUCUGCAGGCAAGAUCUCCUCCAUAACCUCUUGCUGCUGGACAUAAUCACUCACAAUCCUUGGUGUGGUAGGUGGGAGGGGAGGCGAGAAGAGCUAUAAACUCUUUCUGAGGAGCUUCCCCCUUUCUUGACUUUUUGGAUCCUUGUCCUUACCGCCUUCCUGAAUUUCCUGAAAUGUUCUAGCACUUUUCCAAUCAUCCCCUUUCACCUGAGCUAGCCAGUUAUUUUAUGUUCCUUGCAACUGAAUAACAUUGAUUCAUUAACAUAACCAUUAAAGACUACCUACAUAUACAGUGAAUCUAAAUGUGGUUGUCCAACUUUAACUAAAAAUCAUCUGUACGUGUUUGUGAAUAAGAAAGCUAUAAGAAGAAAUGAAAAACCGCCGAGUGAAUCUUUUCCUUCAUGUGUUACCCUCUUCUCUCCCUUUCAUUAAUUCUUUGGUAGACAAAACUCGGUAUGAAUGGAAUAAUUAUAUUCAUUUUUCUAAAGUUAAAAUUUGAACCUACAGAGAAUGGCGUGUGGAGGGAUGAAAAUAAAUCAUAUGGAACGAUCAGCUCUUGACAGGUGGUUUAGGAUGGCAGGUCCAGUGAGCGAACCAAAUUAGGAAGUGAUCAGGCAGAGCUGCAGCACCAGCCAGCAGGCCAAACCAUGCACGGAGAGAAGCUGGAGGGGGCCCUCCAAGUGCUAGCUUCCUUGUAGGAGUCCUAUGUUAUCAAUCUCAUUGCCACUGCGAGACAAAUGUAGAUGUUCUGGUGGCAAUGGAUAAAGGUGAUAAAGAAACACAUUACAUAGAUUAAUUCACAUAUUGGAGUCUUUGGUUUUUAUUAUUUAGUAUGAUCACCUCAUCCUCUUUUUCUUCAUUCACUGGCCUUUCCAGCUUUCUCCCUAUUGCAGUCUAAUAUCCUUUAUUACACGCAAACGCGAUGGUUCUCAAACGUUAGUAUUACUAACAAUACUAAAGAGUGCUUGUUAAAAUACGUAUCCCUGGGUCUCCCACUCAAAGGUUCUUGUUUAUUGUUUUUAAAGGAGGGCCCUGGUUUUGAUUAGAACCAGGAGUUUCAGAUGCAUUUAGUUAUUGGUUGCAUGGCCAUAUAAAUUAUUUUCAAAGUGAAGAACAUUAAGGAGAGUGAAGUGGAUUGACACUAACAAUGAUUCUGGGAUAAUAGGUGCAAAUCAGCUCUGUCUUAGGCAAACCCUGACAUUAAAGUCACCUCCAGUCACUGAUCUCUGAGCAGCA
ensembl:lincRNA